rnacentral:rRNA from 1 species
AGCAGCCGCGGUAAUUCCAGCUCCAAUAGCGUAUAUUAAAGUUGUUGCAGUUAAAAAGCUCGUAGUUGAAUUUCGGGGUUAGUAGGUUGGUCAUGCCUCUGGUAUGUACUGGUCUCACUGAUUCCUCCUUCCUUAUGAACCGUAAUGCCAUUAAUUUGGUGUUGCGGGGAAUUUGGACUGUUACUUUGAAAAAAUUAGAGUGUUUAAAGCAAGCUAACGCUUGAAUACAUUAGCGUGGAAUAAUGAAAUAGGACGUUCGAUCUUAUUUUGUUGGUUUCUAGGAUUGACGUAAUGAUUAAUAGGGAUAGUUGGGGGCAUUAGUAUUCAAUUGUCAGAGGUGAAAUUCUUGGAUUUAUUGAAGACUAACUACUGCGAAAGCAUUUGCCAAGGAUGUUUUCAUUAAUCAAGAACGAAAGUUAGGGGAUCGAAGACGAUCAGAUACCGUCGUAGUCUUAACCAUAAACUAUGCCGACUAGGGAUCGGAUGAUGUUAAUUUUUUAAUGACUCAUUCGGCGCCUUACG